AACUUACCGAAAGGUGAGCUAAUGCCGGAUGAGUUAUAUAAGUGCAUGUUUAUAUAGGAAAAGUUGGGGAGACCUGACGCUGAAAGAUGGACUCGCGUCCCAUUAGCUAGUUGGUAGGGUAAUGGCCUACCAAGGCGACGAUGGGUAGCCGGCCUGAGAGGGUGGCCGGCCACACUGGGACUGAGACACGGCCCAGACUCCUACGGGAGGCAGCAGUGGGGAAUUUUGCGCAAUGCUCGUAAGAGUGACGCAGCGACGCCGCGUGAAUGACGAAGGCCUUCGGGUCGUAAAGUUCUUUCGACAGGGAAGAAAAUGCCUAUAAGUAACUGUGUAUGUAUUGACGGUACCUGUAUAAGCAGCCCCGGCUAACUCCGUGCCAGCAGCCGCGGUAAUACGGAGGGGGCGAGCGUUGUUCGGAGUGACUGGGCGUAAAGAGCACGUAGGCGGUGUUGUAAGUCAUUAGUCAAAGACUAGAGCUCAACUUUAGUAAGGCUAGUGAUACUAUAAUACUAGAGUAUCAGAGAGGAUUGCAGAAUUCCUGGUGUAGCGGUGAAAUGCGUAGAUAUCAGGAGGAAUACCGUUAGCGAAGGCGACAAUCUGGCUGGAAACUGACGCUGAGGUGCGAAAGCGUGGGUAGCAAACAGGAUUAGAUACCCUGGUAGUCCACGCAGUAAACGAUGAUUACUAGCUGU
rnacentral:rRNA from 1 species